CCCCGUGCUCGGCACCCCCUCCUCCGUCGCGACGCCGAGGUACGAGCCGCAGCCCUCGGUGCUCAGCACCCCCUCCGCCGCCGCGACGCCGGGGUGCGAGCCGCGGGCGGAUCGAGCCGGCGGAGUCUAUCUUCACGCCCGCCGCCAGCAGAAUCCAUCAGCGCCGGAGUGCGCCGAGACAUCCACCUCCACCACCACCUCCUCCCGUCGCCUCCCCCGCCACCCACUCGCCAUCCGUGUUGCUAGGGCACGUACUGCAGGAGGUGUGAGCGCAACGAUGAGCCGCACGGUGCCUGGGCACUAGCAAGGUGUUUCGAUCUGUAGACGACGUCCAAUGGAAGCUACAACCCAUAACAGGUUGCCACAAAUUUCAGAAAAGAAUCUGAAUGGACUUAAUACGUGGACAAGCAUAUAUUCAGGUUGGAUCUAUUCCUUUUAUCACUUGGGAGAGGACAUCAUAUUGGCUUGCUGGACCCUUUUAAGGAUAAAAACACUUCUGGUAGGGGACUGAUUAUCACCGUCUUGUUUGGAUGAUGACGUCAUCAACAAUGAUGUCUAUUAUGAUCAUAGUGAAAAUAGAGACCACGUUCAUGAUAAGAUAAAUUGAUGGAAAUGCAAGUGUUUUGUCAAACUAACACGAGUUGAGUUUGAUAUCCUUCUGGUUUGUUGAUUAGAAUAUUCUGAAAUUCUUUGGUUUAGUAAAGGUUGCAAUGUUGUUCUGCAGUUAGAGCCUUGAGAGGGAUUGAAUUGAGCUUGUGGGUAUAUUUAUCUAUUAAUGUUUCUUUAUUUAUGCUAAAAAUGCAUGCCGUGCUAAUAUACCUAAAAUGCGUAGUGGAUAAGUUUCACUGCUACCAUUAUUACAUAUUAACUGACAGCUAAGGUCAUAUAAGUAAUUAGUAAACUUUGGCAGUUAAAAAUCCAAAUGUCCAAGUGUUAGUAGCAAAAGCAAUGCUGAGUUUUUUUGGUCAGAUUCUAGCUUUGUUUAGUCUAAAUAGUCCACAUCGACUCACCUUAGCGGUCAUGAUGGAUUGGUAAAGUGUCUCCACACUUGCGAUUCAGUUUCUACCCCUUUCUCCUUACUGCUUCUGAAAAGGUUCAUGUACAAUGCAGAACAAUGCAGACCUAUAUUUUUUAUACCAGAGCCUGUCUUGCUGUUGAGAUAUAUGAACUUCAUUGUGCUAAUUAUACAUAAAAGUUUGAUUAGAUAGAUCCUGAUAAUAUUUCAUUGGUGCCUCUGUGGUUUCAGAGUAGGACAUAUGGUGUCACCUACAGCCUAGCAUCUACUUAUUUCCACAUUUGAUUGUUGAGUAUAGAUUCUACUUAAAAUUCAAAUUGUUGAAGCUGCACUUCCCUUCUAUGAUAAGUUGCAGAUUGGUAGUCAGAUAGUUUUUCAUAUUGUGUAUGCAGGUCAAAUUAACUGUGAUCACAUGAUUGGAGUGUUUGUUCAUGUCUCUGUAGUCUGUAGACAUGGACAGUUACAGACUGCUUAAAUCUUAUCACCACAAUUUUAGUUGUUACAUAGUACAAAGUGAUGUGCUGUGUAUACCUCCUGCAUGUAUGUGCACUUAAUAAUUGUGUUGCGUGUGAUUUGCUUGCAUCCAUUAUAUCAAGACCUAUUGUAUAGAUUAUUAUAUGCGAUUAUUCACCAGCUAUGUUCAGACUACCCAGCAUUUCAAGAUUGCUCUAUCAUUUUCUUUUCUUUUUUUUUGCCAAAUUCCAUUAUGUCUAUCCUUAAACAAAGCUGCAUGUGACUAUAUUUCUUUUAAUCACCUUCCAGUUGAAUGUUUAGGUCAGAGUUGCCCAUUGGGCAUACUCCUGUGUCCAACUGGAAAGGGCAUGGUUGCUUAAACAUCAGUCUACAAUCUAUGAGGGGAAUAUACAAUAUGAAGUGUACAGGCCCAAAUACUUAUGGAUGCAAUCAGGAUGUGCCGGUGCUUCGUCAUCAAUGCUAUGCAAUGAACUGGCUCUGUCUAUAAGAUUUAUUAGCAAAUGAUGGUCAGAAUCACCAAUGACUUUCUGUAAGCUUCAGCAUUAAAUAUUUGAACAAUAUAUGGUUUUGUUCAUAAUUUCUAAAACUUGUGGGAAGUAUGUUUAUAAUUUUUCAAAGAGUUAUUAGAAGAGUUGGCUCAGUUCAAGGUAUUGCUUUCAUCAGCACUCUGAAGUUCUUUUUUAAAGUUGUAGAUAUGCAUUCCUCAUGUCUUUGGAUAUGUACAACUAAAUUUUUUUGUAAAAAUAGAUGAUGCAUAAACUAACACCGUGUCACAACAAUUAUCAGGCGGCCAGAUGGGCCCCAGUUUAUUGGGCGACGAAUAUUGUUGGUUCGGCUACUUGAUUUGUUUGCAACUUGUGCUACAGUAUACCGUGGAUGCUUCUUGAAAAAAAAUACCAUGACCUAUGCUGUAAACUAACAAAGUGAUAUGUCUUAUGAAGAAGUUAUAUAUACUAUUAUUUUGUAAAACCAAUAUCAUUGUGAAAUGUUACAUGUAUUUGUUACCAGACUUCUUUGGACUGCUUUGAACUGAUAUUACAUCCAUAACAACAUAUAAAUACAGCCCAGUUGGGCACAAUAAUCAUUUUCUUGAUCAGGAUUACUAUAGUUAGACUGCAGAAAGAGUGGGCAAUUGGAAUGGAAGAUGACGGUUAAUGUAUUUGCUAAAUGCUACAUAUUUCACUUCUUGAAAGCUUCACUUUGUUGUCUUUUUCGUAAUAAAUUGGUUUUAUUUAUUUGAUCAUGAUGUGAACCUAUAGCAAUGGACGGGCACCGACCUAUAUAUAAUAUAAGAGUUUUGAGAUUAUUGGAGUAGUAAUCAGCUGCUUCCAUACAAUAAUUGGCAUUCUUACUCUGAUUCAGUUGAAGGGAGUGACACAUUAUUGAAAUAUCCUCACUUCUUAUGUUGAUUUGCUGACAUGGUUUGCCAAUCCAUGUUUGCAUGUAGGCACCACAUCUCUACGAGUACACAAUACAUAAUUUUACUGCUGGACAACACUUUGCUGUUUAAUUAUUGUUAUAUUUCGAAUCCUCAAUACUGGAUUAUUAAAACCAAAGGGAAGCGUGCUUUCAGUUGAGGGAUAAACAUGCUAAGAUGCAGGUAGAGAUCUUGGUAUUACAACUUAUAAUAUAAAAUCCUUGGAACUUGGACGACUCAGGUUCAGUUUUGUUUAAAAUCUAACAUAUGUAAGAGUUAUCUUAAAUUUCUCUGUUUUGUGGAAUAUCAAUAACAUUUAUCUUAAAUGUAUAUGUUUUGUAGAUUUUCGAUGUAUAUAUGAUGUGUACAAUAUCCUAUUUGUAGGGUAGGAAAAUCCAACAGAUUGGAACUACUAUGGUUGAUCCCA